UUGAUCUCAAAUCAAGUAGGACUACCCG
rnacentral:rRNA from 1 species